rnacentral:rRNA from 1 species
CAAUAGCGUAUAUUAAAGUUGUUGCAGUUAGAAAGCUCGUAGUUGGAUUUCUGGUGGGAGCGAUCGGUCUGGCGCUUAGCGCGAGUACUUGCAUCGUCUCCGGCCAUCCUUGGGGAGAGUCUGUCUGGCAUUAGGUUGUCGGGCAGAGGAUCCUCAUCGUUUACUGUGAAAAAAUUAGAGUGUUCAAAGCAGGCUUAUGCCGUUGAAUAUAUUAGCAUGGAAUAAUAAGAUAGGACUUUGGUACUAUUUUGUUGGUUUGCGCACCAAAGUAAUGAUUAAUAGGGACAGUUGGGGGUAUUCGUAUUCCGUUGUCAGAGGUGAAAUUCUUGGAUUUACGGAAGACGAACUACUGCGAAAGCAUUUACCAAGGAUGUUUUCGUUAA